rnacentral:pre_miRNA from 1 species
UGGAAAGAUUAGUGUAUUCGACUAUAUUCACGGCAUGAAACAAGGGAUUACACUGUUUUAAACGGAAAGUGAUUUAAUUAACAUAAUAGACUCCU